UAUCUUCGUCGCGGAGUCAUUCUUACUAAAGAUAACCUUAUUAAGAGAAAUUGGCAUGGAAGUACGCAAUGUGUAUUUUGUCAGGAUGAUGAGAUAAUAGAACAUUUGUUCUUCCAAUGCAAAUUGGCUCGUUCUAUAAUGUCAGUCAUCCAAAUAGCUUCUGGCUUGUAUCCUCCUCGUAGUGUUGCUAAUAUAUUUGGCAACUGGUUACAUGGGAUAGAUCACAUGUUUAGAACUCUUCUCAGGGUGGGAGCGCUUGCCGUUAUUUGGUUGCUUUGA
rnacentral:rRNA from 1 species